rnacentral:rRNA from 1 species
GUGGGGAAUCUUGCACAAUGGGGGAAACCCUGAUGCAGCGACGCCGCGUGAGCGAUGAAGCCCUUCGGGGUGUAAAGCUCUUUCGGCGGGGACGAUUAUGACGGUACCCGCAUAAGCAGCUGCGGCUAACUACGUGCCAGCAGCCGCGGUAAUACGUAGGCAGCAAGCGUUGUUCGGAAUUACUGGGCGUAAAGAGUGCGUAGGCGGAUGGGCAAGUCUGGUGUGAAAUCUCCCGGCUCAACUGGGAGGGUGCGCCGGAAACUGCCCGUCUGGAGUGUGGGAGAGGGAAGUGGAAUUCCUGGUGUAGCGGUGAAAUGCGUAGAUAUCAGGAGGAACACCGGCGGUGUAGACGGCUUCCUGGACCACUACUGACGCUGAGGCACGAAAGCGUGGGGAGCAAACAGGAUUAGAUACCCCGGUAGUCC